AGCUUGUCCUAUUCGAUUCUUAGCAAAUGAGCUUCGAUUAUACCGAGGUUGAUGCUGUCACUGGCAAAAUCCGGAAACAAAGUCGAAAGGAAAAAAUCUGCGACUUUUGGUUCAAAGUCUUUAUCAAGAAGGACGUUAGCUGCUUUGAUGUUUCCAUGCAUAAUUUUUAGUUUACCUUCAUGUAAAUGACGUUUCAAGGUCCCGUUGGGAACAAACUCUAAAACAA
rnacentral:misc_RNA from 1 species